AGGAGCCGUAUGAGGUGAAAUUCUCACGUACAGUUCUGGAAUAGAGCUUCUUUCAAUUGAAUGACGACCGUAAUAGAUGUCGGCUCAAUCCAAAGGAAAUUACGCGGAAGCUUUGUAGAAUUAUUAUGAAGCUAUGCGACUAGAAAUUGAUCCCUAUGAUUGAAGUUAUAUACUCUAU
rnacentral:ncRNA from 1 species